rnacentral:rRNA from 1 species
UACAGAGGUCUCAAGCGUUGUUCGGAUUCAUUGGGCGUAAAGGGUGCAUAGGUGGUGAUGCAAGUCUGGUGUGAAAUCUCGGAGCUCAACUCCGAAAUUGCACCGGAUACUGCGUGACUCGAGGACUGUAGAGGAGAUCGGAAUUCACGGUGUAGCAGUGAAAUGCGUAGAUAUCGUGAGGAAGACCAGUUGCGAAGGCGGAUCUCUGGGCAGUUCCUGACACUGAGGCACGAAGGCCAGGGGAGCAAACGGG